rnacentral:rRNA from 2 species
UUCCCUUUCGGGGGACAGGAUGACAGGUGGUGCAUGGUUGUCGUCAGCUCGUGUCGUGAGAUGUUGGGUUAAGUCCCGCAACGAGCGCAACCCUUGAUCUUAGUUGCCAGCAUUCAGUUGGGCACUCUAAGGUGACUGCCGGUGACAAACCGGAGGAAGGUGGGGAUGACGUCAAAUCAUCAUGCCCCUUAUGACCUGGGCUACACACGUGCUACAAUGGAUGGUACAAAGGGCUGCAAAACCGCGAGGUUAAGCCAAUCCCAUAAAACCAUUCUCAGUUCGGAUUGCAGGCUGCAACUCGCCUGCAUGAAGCCGGAAUCGCUAGUAAUCGCGGAUCAGCAUGCCGCGGUGAAUACGUUCCCGGGCCUUGUACACACCGCCCGUCACACCACGAGAGUUUGUAACACCCGAAGUCGGUGGGGUAACCGCAAGGAGCCAGCCGCCUAAGGUGGGACAGAUGAU